rnacentral:ribozyme from 1 species
UGCCCAGCGACUCCUAUCCCUACCUCCACGCGGUACCGGCCGGAAACUAUGAGCAACCUUAGCAGGGCUGG